rnacentral:tRNA from 1 species
GCCGGCGUGAUGGAAUUGGUAGACGUGCGGGAUUCAAAAUCCCGUGGUGCUUGCACCGUAUGAGUUCGACUCUCAUCGCCGGCACCA